GUGUAACAACAGAAUAAAUGUAGUAGUGACUGCAAGGUGUGUUUGGAGAAGCAUAUAGCAGCAACAAAAUGAUGGAACGUUAGUCCCAGAAUGGAAUAGGGCUAGUGCUCCCACUAAUGUGUUAUUCUGUUUAAGAGCUUGGCAGGAAGCCAUGAGAUGUUGAAUUAUUAAUAAUUGGCUGAUGAAGGCUGCAGAAACCGAAACCGGUCCCACUUUUUCCUUCUUUGGAUCCACAAUAUUAUACAAAGAAGGCUUGCUUGCCAAAAACUUCUGCUUGGACUAUUGAAUGUAAAAGCACCUUAAGAGGAGGACUUGUUUGGCAACUGACAACCAACAGACUUACAGCAUAUGGGAUAUUUUCCUUCUGAAUUUUUGGACUAUUAUGUGUAAUAUAUGUUAAUAUAACCUCGCAUAUAGU